rnacentral:rRNA from 1 species
UACACACCGCCCGUCACACCAUGGGAGUCAGUUGCUCCAGAAACGGCUGCGCUAACCCGCGAAGGGGGCAGGUCUUUAAGGAGUGACUGGUAACUGGGGUG